rnacentral:rRNA from 1 species
GAUGAACGCUGGCGGCGUGCCUAAUACAUGCAAGUCGAGCGAACGGACGAGAAGCUUGCUUCUCUGAUGUUAGCGGCGGACGGGUGAGUAACACGUGGAUAACCUACCUAUAAGACUGGGAUAACUUCGGGAAACCGGAGCUAAUACCGGAUAAUCUUUUGAACCGCAUGGUUCAAAAGUUACAGACGUUCUUGCUGUCACUUAUAGAUGGAUCCGCGCUGCAUUAGCUAGUUGGUAAGGUAACGGCUUACCAAGGCAACGAUGCAUAGCCGACCUGAGAGGGUGAUCGGCCACACUGGAACUGAGACACGGUCCAGACUCUUACGGGAGGCAGCAGUAGGGAAUCUUCCGCAAUGGGCGAAAGCCUGACGGAGCAACGCCGCGUGAGUGAUGAAGGUCUUCGGAUCGGAAAACUCUGUUAUUAGGGAAGAACAUAUGUGUAAGUAACUGUGCACAUCUUGACGGUACCUAAUCAGAAAGCCACGGCUAACUACGUG